rnacentral:rRNA from 1 species
GUUGAACGCUGGCGGCAUGCCUAACACAUGCAAGUCGAACGGUAACAGGAGGAAGCUUUCUUCUUUGCUGACGAGUGGCGGACGGGUGAGGAGUGUCUGGGAAACUGCCUGAUGGAGGGGGAUAACUACUGGAAACGGUAGCUAAUACCUCAUAACGUCUCAUGACCAACGUGUGCGACCUUCGUGCCAUUUGCCAUCUGAUGUGUCCAGCUGGGUUGUGUUAGUUGGUUGGGAAAGGGCUCACCUAGCCGACGAUCACUAGCUGGUCGGAGAGGAUGACCAGCCACACUGGACCGGGGACCGGGCCAAGACUCCUACGGGAGGCACAGGAGGGGAACAUUGGACAAAGGGCGCAAGCCGGAUGCAGCAAGGCGGCGGGGAUGAAGAGGGCCUUCGGGUGGUAAAGUACUUUGUGAGGGGAGAAAGGGAGUAAGGUUAAAAACUUCACUCAGUGACGUUACCCGAAGAAGAAGCGACGGCUAACUCCGUG